rnacentral:rRNA from 1 species
GUCUACGGCCAUGCCAUCCUGAACGCGCCGGAUCCUAUCUGAUCUUGGAAGCUAAGCACGGUUGGGCCUGGUUUGUACUUGGCUGGGAGACCACCUAGGAAGACCAGGUGCUAUAGGCU